GGGACAGUCCCUCCUGUGAGGACACGGGAGGUUCCCAAGGGCAGGAAUUCGCUGCUGCUCCUGGGUGGUGUCCUCGGGGUUGGAUUUGGGGGGACGAGGGGGGUCUUGGCCUUGAUGGUCUUGGGGGUCUCUUCCAACCCUGGUGACUCGUUGGCAGUGGUUGACCUUGAUGGUCUUGGGGGUCUCUUCCAACCCUGGUAACUCGUUGGCAGUGGUUGACCUUGAUGGUCUUUGAGGUCUCUUCCAACCCUGGUAACUCGUUGGCAAUGGUUGACCUUGAUGACCUUUGAGGUCUCUUCCCACCUGGAUGACUUGGUGAUAAUGGUUGGACUCGAUGACCUUUGGAGGUCUCUUCCAACCCUGGUGACUCGUUGGCAAUGGUUGGACUCGAUGACCUUUGAGGUCUCUUCCAACCUUGGUGACUCGUUGGCAGUGGUUGGACUUGAUGGUCUUGGGGGUCUCUUCCAACCCU
rnacentral:lncRNA from 1 species